CCGGAUCUGGUUCUCGGCGUACCUUCGCCGCAAGGACUCGACAAAUUGGAUAGGCGUGACGGCUCUGCCUACUGCCUAUCCUCUUCUUUUCUUUUCCCUUAGCUGCUGCCCGCGUGAUUCCGUGUGCGUCUUGGUGUUCGGCGACGGCGCUCGCUCACGCGUGUGCCAUUGUGCCGCAUGGUUCCGCCGCACAGGUGCUUCUCCUUUUUACUUUUGUCACUGCCGUUCACGGUGUGCACGUUUGCGGGUGUGCCGCUGCCACUCGUCUUCCUCCAUGCUGCGUCAGCUGCCGCUGCGCCGCUUUCGCCUCUUCUCCUCGUCCCUUCGCGCGACUCAUUCCACCUCGGUCGACGCCACUAUUCCGCGCGUGCGCACGCACCGGCACGACGCCGCCGCGAGCACGCCAGUCACUGACUCGACCUUGCUGAAGAAGAAGCCCACCAAGGCUGCUACCGCGUCCCCUUCCUCUGCGCCAUUCCUGACAGAUUACCGGACGGAGAAGGCGCAGCGCCGCUGGAGCAACGCGAGUCGCGCUACACAGGCCGUCGAAUCAACGUCAUCGCGCACCGGUCCAUCGCACAGCACUGCUUCCGUGCCCUCACGUUCAUCACCCACAUCGUCGUCGGCUGCGGCUCGCCCGCUCCUGAAGCGAACAAUGCAGGCCAAGAACAAGGUGGUGGUGCUCCAUCCCGAGGGCAGCCAAGUCAUUACUCUCGACAUGUCCAUCGAGGUGCCGGCGCCGGCGGCCGGCGCCGCGGCACCGCUGCAGCCGAAGCGCGGAACCACAACGGUAUCAAAGAGCAUGGCUCGAGAGGAGAAAGAGACGGCGGCGAAAACGCUCGGCCGCAUUCGGCUGCUUUUUGCGCCGCCGCGGUCGAGCGAGCAGAGCUCGAAGCGGAUGACGAAGGAUAAAAUUUUCGCUGAGUGCCCCACUGUGCGCGCCUUCUGCCGCUCCUCCGAUCUUGCAGGGAUGGCGGAGGAGGAUGGUCCGCUGGCGGCGCCAGGGGCGACGGCGGUUGUCCUCCCGUCGUUGGACGAAACCGCACUUUUCACGGAACUGAACCCCGAGCUGCCCAACCGCGUCUUUUGGAAGCAUGCUCGAGUGCUGUGCGUCAACGAGACCAUCGUAUGCGUGCUCUACAACGUGCCUACGGUCGUCUCCAUCACGUCGCCAGGUAUCCCGUACGUCGGGCUCCCGCUCGCGUGCGCUGACGUGUCGCUGCUCUUCGCGUCCAAGGAGAGCCUGUGCUACGAGUGGUGCGUGCUUUCGGAGGCGUCGGCGAGCACGCGCAGCGCAAACGACGACGAUGCGGCCUUUCGCGUGGUUGGCACCGCGCCGACGUUCACGCCGACCAGCGACCUCCAGGGCAAGGAGAUGAUGCUGCGCGUCUCGCUGGACCCCGCCACCGGCCUCUGGACGGAGAUGCGUCUGCCCAGUGUCGUGCGCCAGCUACCGCCGCCGGUGCCGCGGUGGCAGGAGACAACCACGCCCGUCAACUACCCGGCCUUCCGUGUCGUGACGUACAACAUCCUCUACGAUGACUUCUGCACAUCGAAGAGCUCCAAGGCAAAGAUAUACCCGUUCGCCACCGACGACAUCCUCGACCUUGAGAACCGGAAGGUGCGCAUUGUGCAGGAACUCUUGGCCUAUCAUACGGAUAUUGUCUGUUUGCAGGAGUGCGGCCGGGACGUCUUCCAAUCCUACUUUCUGCCUGUGAUGCGCGCGUGCGGGUACGACGGGGUGUACUGCAACAAGUCUGGAUCGGUGAAGGAGGGCUGCGGCUUCCUAUUUCGCGAGUCCCGCUUCCAGCUCGUGCAGCAUGCGUCCGUCCCGCUAAACUUUCAAACCCUCUCCACCAUGUUUCCGGAACUGGCGGGGCGUGUGGGCGCCUGCCCUGAGCUCGAGGAAGCGCUCUCCGCGGUCACCUCCAUUGGGGCGCGAGUGGUGCUGCGGGAAUCCACCAGUGACAAGGAGAUCGUGGUCGGCAAUACGCAUCUUUUUUACCAUGCCAAUGCGUGCCAUAUUCGCGUUCUCCAAGCGUACAUGCUGCUGCACUGGUUGAGCGACGCCACCCUGAUCUCGCCCGGCGGCGAUGCGGCGACGUCACCGUCGCCCAGUUUAGCCAACCGCGCUCGGCCGCGCCGACCUCUGGUCAUGUGUGGUGAUUUCAACUGCACACACGCGACCGGCGCGUACCGUCUUCUCACAACGGGCCAGGUGGAGGCCGAUCACCCGUCCUGGGACAAAGGGAGGCUCUUCUGGUGGGGCUGCGCGCGGCUGCUCGGCUACGACGCCGACGACCUCGUGGAGUUGCUUGGCAAGGACGCAAAGCUGCCCCACGCCACGGUGGCGCGAAAAGAUUGCAAGCGGCCACGCAAAACGUCAGCAGAAACCGCGGCACCCACUCCGGCAGAUCCGGCAGAGAUCCCUGCAGAGGCAAGCAACGAGACGCAGGCACAAGAGGACCCGGCGCAGGGCGAGGGCGGGGAGCGCGUCAUCACAAAGGUAUUUCAUGAGGCCCUCUACGGACCGCAGGUGCGCCUGCAGGACGCCUACCACCGCACCGACCUUUCACUGCCUUGGACGAACUUCACACUCACCUUUCGCGAGGUGAUUGACUACAUCUUCUUCUCCGAAGACUCGUUGGAAGUGCUACGCACGGUGCCCAUCCCCUCAGAGGCCGAGCUGACAGAGAACUUUGCCUUGCCGAACAAGAAAUACCCGUCCGACCACGUCGCACUUGUCGCAGACCUCGCCUUCACGACGCAGUGAGUGAAAUGCCUCCUCCCCUCCCCAGUAGAGCUCCUAGCCGCUGGGAGACGCUCACCCCGCCGCAAAAGCGCUCGUCGCUGACGCAGUGGGUCAGGUGCAUCCGCAUAAUCGUAAUGGCUGGGAGGGAGGGGAUGUUUCCAGUUGGGGCCGCGAAUGAAGAACAAGCUGAGAUAGCUCCAUCUU
rnacentral:misc_RNA from 1 species